rnacentral:rRNA from 1 species
AUUGAACGCUGGCGGCAGGCCUAACACAUGCAAGUCGAGCGGAUGAAGGGAGCUUGCUCCUGGAUUCAGCGGCGGACGGGUGAGUAAUGCCUAGGAAUCUGCCUGGUAGUGGGGGAUAACGUCCGGAAACGGGCGCUAAUACCGCAUACGCCCUGAGGGAGAAAGUGGGGGAUCUUCGGACCUCACGCUAUCACAUGAGCCUAGGUCGGAUUAGCUAGUUGGUGGGGUAAAGGCCUACCAAGGCGACGAUCCGUAACUGGUCUGAGAGGAUGAUCAGCCACACUGGAACUGAGACACGGUCCAGACUCCUACGGGAGGCAGCAGUGGGGAAUAUUGGACAAUGGGCGAAAGCCUGAUCCAGCCAUGCCGCGUGUGUGAAGAAGGUCUUCGGGUUGUAAAGCACUUUUAGUUGGGAAGAAGGGCAGUAAGUUAAUACCUUGCUGUUUUGACGUUACCAAAAGAAUAAGCACCGGCUAACUUCGUG